CAGCCGCCACGGUAAUACGAGGGGGGCAAGCGUUGUUCGGAAUUACUGGGCGUAAAGCGUGCGCAGGCGGUUUGUUAAGACAGAUGUGAAAUCCCCGGGCUCAACCUGGGAACUGCAUUUGUGACUGGCAAGCUAGAGUGUGGCAGAGGGGGGUGGAAUUCCGCGUGUAGCAGUGAAAUGCGUAGAUAUCUGGAGGAAUACCGGUGGCGAAGGCGGCCCCCUGGACAAAGACUGACGCUCAGGUGCGAAAGCGUGGGGUGCAAACAGGAUUAGAUACCCCUGUAGUCCCUGUCUCUUAUAC
rnacentral:rRNA from 1 species